rfam:Triticum aestivum genome assembly, contig: Triticum_aestivum_CS42_TGACv1_scaffold_423257_5BS
CAAAAUCUGAGUUUGAUCCUGGCUUAGAAGGAACGCUAGCUAUAUGCUUAACACAUGCAAGUCGAACGUUUUUUUCGGGGAGCUGGGCAGAAGGAAAAGAGGCUCCUAGCUAAAGUUGUCUCGCCCUGCUUCAAAACUACAGGGCGCGCGCUACGGCUUUGACCUAACGGCCUCCGUUUGCUGGAAUCAGAAUAGUUGAGAACAAAGUGGCGAACGGGUGCAUAAAGCAUGGGAAUCUGCCAAACAGUUCAGGCGAAAUCCUGAAGAAAGCUCAAAAGUGCUGUUUGAUGAGCCUGCGUAGUAUUAGGUAGUUGGUCAGGUAAAGGCUGACCAAGCCAAUGAUGCUUAGCUGGUCUUUUCAGAUGAUCAGCCACACUAGGACUGAGACACGGCCCGGACUCCCAUGGGGGGCAGCAAUGGGGAAUCUUGGACAAUGGGCGAAAGCCCGAUCUAGCAAUAUCGCGUGAGUGAAGAAGGGCAAUGCCGCUUGUAAAGCUCUUUCGUCGAGUGCACGAUCAUGACAGGACUUGAGGAAGAAGCCCCGACUAACUCCUUACCAGCAGCCGCGGUAAGAUGGGGGGGGCAAGUGUUCUUCGGAAUGACUGGGUGUAAAGGGCACGUAGGCGGCGAAUCGGGUUGAAAGUGAAAGUCGCCAAAAAGUGGCGGAAUGCUCUCGAAACCAAUUCACUUGAGUGAGACAGAGGAGAGUGGAAUUUCGUGUGUAGGGGUGAAAUCCGUAGAUCUACGAAGGAACGCCAAAAGCGAAGGCAGCUCUCUGGGUCCCUACCGACGCUGGGGUGCGAAAGCAUGGGGAGCGAACAGGAUUANUAGAUCUACGAAGGAACGCCAAAAGCGAAGGCAGCUCUCUGGGUCCCUACCGACGCUGGGGUGCGAAAGCAUGGGGAGCGAACAGGAUUAGAUACCCUGGUAGUCCAUGCCGUAAACGAUGAGUGUUCUCCCUUGGUCUACGCAGAUCAGGGCCCAGCUAACGCGUGAAACACUCCGCCUAGGGAGUAAAGUCGCAAGACCGAAACUCAAAGGAAUUGACGGGGGCCUGCACAAGCGGUGGAGCAUGUGGUUUAAUUCGAUACAACACGCAAAACCUUACCAGCCCUUGACAUAUGAACAACAAAACCUGCCCUUACCAAGAUGGUACUGACUUUCAUACAGGUGAUGCAUGGCUGUCGUCAGCUUGUGUCAUGAGAUGUUUGGUCAAGUCCUAUAACGAGCAAAACCCUCGUUUUGUGUUGUUGAGACAUGCGCCUAAGGAGAAAUUGCCACCGAGUGACGUGCCAACACUACUACUUGAUUGAGUGCCAUCAUGUAGCUGUGCUUUCAGCAAGAAUUUCACCAUUGGGAGCCGGUGCCUUUCGAAGCACUUUCAUGUGUGAACCGAAGUCGUCUUGCCCAAGACCCACGGAGACCUACCUAUAGUGAUGUCAAAGUACCAGUGAGCAUGGAGGUUUGGUUGAAAUUGGUUACGACGAUGUCGAGUUGGCGGCGAAGGAAGACUCAGCAUGAAGGCCAGAAAAUGGUGUGGAAUGUAGUGGUAAUAGUACGCGCCCCGCUCCGAAACAAAGAAAAAGGUGCGUGCCGCACUCACGAGGGACUGCCAGUGAGAUACUAGAGGAAGGUGGGGAUGACGUCAAGUCCGCAUGGCCCUUAUGGGCUGGGCCACACGUGUGCUACAAUGGCAAUGACAAUGGGAAGCAAGGCUGUAAGGCGGAGCGAAUCCGGAAAGACUGCCUUAGUUCGGAUUGUUCUCUGCAACUCGGGAACAUGAAGUUGAAAUCGUUAGUAAUCGCGGAUCAGCAUGUCGCGGUGAAUAUGUACCCGGGCCCUGUACACACUGCCCGUCACACCCUGGGAAUUGGUUUCACCUGAAGCAUCGGACCAAUGAUCACCCAUGAAUUACCACUAGUGCCACAAAGGCCUUUGGUGGUCUUAUUGGCUCAUACCACAGUGGGUUCUUCAACUGGGGUGAAGUCGUAACAAGGUAGCCGUAGGGGAACCUGUGGAUGGAUUGAAUCCUUC